AGUGGCAAACGGGGUAGUAACAUGUGGGAACAUACCCAGAAGUCGAGAAUAAUCCAUCGAAAGGUGGACUAAUACUCGAUAGUCCCUACGGGGUAAAGUCUUCGGACGCUUCUUGGAUUGGCCUGCACGGUAUCAGCUAGUUGGUAGUGUAACGGACUACCAAGGCUAUGACGCCUAGGGGAGGUGAGAGCCUGACCCCCACCAUUGGAACUGCGAACUGUCCAAACACCUACGGGUGGCUGCAGUCAAGAACCUUCCGCAAUGGACGAAAGUCUGACGGAGCGACGCCGCGUGAUCGAUGAAGCCCUUCGGGGUGUAAAGGUCUUUUAUGCAUGAGAAAAUUAUUGAUGUUAGUGCAUGAAUAAGGGGCUCCUAACUCUGUGCCAGCAGGAGCGGUAAUACAGAGGCCCCGAGCGUUAUCCGGAAUUAUUGGGCGUAAAGGGUGCGUAGGUGGUUGUAUUAGUCGACUGUGAAAGAUCCGAGCUUAACUUGGAGAACGCAAUCGAAACGGUACGACUCGAGUAUGUGAGAGGUGAACGGAACUCAUGGAGUAGGGGUGAAAUCCGUUGAUAUCAUGGGGAACACCAAAUGCGAAGGCAGUUCACUAGCACAUUACUGACACUGAGUGCACGAAAGCGUAGGUAGCGAAUGGGACUAGAUACCCCAGUAGUCUACGCCCUAAACGAUGUUCAUUAGCUAUACGGAGUAUCGACCCUCUGUGUGGCGUAGCUAACGCGUUAAAUGAACCGCCUGGGAACUACGGCCGCAAGGCUAAAACUCAAAGGAAUAGACGGGGACUUGCACAAGCGGUGGAUGAUGUGGUUUAAUUCGAUGAUUCACGAAGAACCUUACCAGGGUUAGAAAUCAAAGUGAAGACAAGCAGAGACGUUUGUCGCCUUCGGGCACUUUGACAGGUGAUGCAUGGUUGUCGUCAGUUCGUGGUUUGAAUUGUUCCCUUAAGUGGGGUAACGAACGAAACCCUCGUCGUGUGUUAUAUAUGUCACACGAGACUGCCCCUCUUUGGGGAGGAAGGAGAGGAUGACGCCAAAUCAGCAUGUCCCUUGAUACCCUGGGCUACACACGUCAUACAAUGGUUACUACAGAGGGCAGCAAUACCGUAAGGUGGAGCCAAUCCUUAAAAGUAGCCCCAGUUCAGAUUGAGGUCUGCAACUCGACCUCAUGAAGUUGGAAUCGCUAGUAAUCGCGGGUCAGCUAUACCGCGGUGAAUACGUUCUCAAGUCU
rnacentral:rRNA from 1 species